CAAGAAAUUAAGGGGUGCUUUAUCUCUGAAACAUUUAAUCAGAGUAAGGCUGAGAAAUACCCAUUGAACCUGUCGGGUAAUGCCGUCGAAGGGAUGAAACUAUGCUUCUUG
rnacentral:ncRNA from 1 species